AAAAGAAAAGCAAAAAAAAAC
rnacentral:sRNA from 1 species